rnacentral:tmRNA from 1 species
GCACUUCAACUCUUAACCCGAAGCGCCUAUAUAAGACGUGCCGGUUCGCCGGCUAUGGCGAUAAACGCGCGUGUAAUAAACGGCUCGGACCCGGGGGCGGUACCCGGCGCCUCCACCACCUGCGCAGGAGAACCUGCUCAGCUGUGGGGGCGAAAUAGGAUCGACGGACGCGUAAAGACGUUGCUUUUGCUCGGCAAGGCUCACCGUUAUCGGGCUGUCUGUAUAGGUGCCAACGACAAUGAAAUGGCCCUCGCUGCCUAAUAGGUAAGCGCGGCUCGGAGGGGCGCCGGGCAACAGAAGCCCCUCCACC